GGGCCGGGCAAGGGAACGGAACGGAACGGAAGGGAACGGAACGGAAGGGAACCGGGAGAGGGACCGGACUCCGCGGGGCAGGAAGCGGCGGCCAGGGGCUCCGGGAAGGGCCCGGGUGAGCGGCGCCUCCGGGUCCCGGCAGCCAUGCCCUUGUCUCCCUCCCGGGCACGGAGCCGGGGCCCGGCGGGGCGGCGAAGCGCGCCGAGGGACCGGGAGCGGCAGCACCGAGCCCAGGUGAGGGACGCCGGGGGUUCCGGGGCUGGGGGGGGGCGGUCUGGCGCCGGGGGAGCCCUGUCUCCCUGCCCGGCCCCGGCCCUCUGCCCGCCGGGGCUGGCCGUGCAGCCCAAGGCUCCCACGCGCUUCAUUGCAGCUCCCGCCUGGCCCAGCUCCGCUCAGGGACGCUCCGGCUCGGCACCAGCUCGGCUCCAGCCCCGCGCUCGGCGCUUCGGCCCCGGCUCCGGCCCGGAGGCGUCUGCGCUCCCGGUGCUGGGCGCUGCGGGGAAGAGAUGCUGCUGCUGCUGCUGCUGCUGCUGCUGCUUCCGACAGCUCCGGCUGAGGGGAACCCGGGCUGCUGCCCUCUCUGGCCUCAGGAAAGCUCCGGCUUGUUCCAGCUCCGGCUGAUGGACGCUCCAGCCCCGCAUGGCUGCAGCUGCAGCUCCAGCCCCGUGUGAUUUCGGCUCCCGAUGCCGCCCGCUCCAGUUUCCAGCUCGCCUUUCGCACGGGCUCAGGGACCCGCCGGCUUGUUGCAGCUCCGGCUCCUCCACGCUCCGGCCGAUGGACGUCCCACCUCGUCCCACCCCUGCCCGCUCCGGCCGAGAGACGCUCCUGCUCCUGACAGCCCCGGGGGCUUUUGUCCAGCUCCGGCCCUGCGUCAUUUUGGGCCCAGCCGAGACACCGGACGUUCCCGUUUCUCGCAGCUCCAGCCCUACCCGAUGGAAACCUCGAGCCCUGCAUGACCUCCUGCUGCUUCCAGCUCCAGGCGCCGGACGCUCGGCUGGUUCCCCUCCCGCUGAGGGGCCCCCAGCUCGGAGUCAGAGCUGCUCCCCAGCUCUGGGGGCUGGUGACGAGGUCGUAAAUCAAUCACUGUCAUCGCUCAAGUACCACCCCUGUCUGGCCCUUGAAUAAAGCCUCGGUGCCCCCAUUUUCGCCCAGAGACUAUCUCA